UCAAAUAAAGAACACAAAAGAAUCAUAGACUAAAUUUAGAACUAUUUGGAAUGCCAUGAUUACAGUGUUUGAUUUGCAUUUCUCCAUGUUUAAAUCACAGUUCAUAUUAACAAUACAUGAAUGUCAAAUAGGAUGCACUGGAAUUAUAGGUACCAAAUGAAAUUAUCACUAAAACAAACCCCAGGUUAAAGUGGACAUGGUACUGACUAGCAGACAAGUUCCAGAUUCACCAAAGAAAACCUUCAGAUCCUCCGUCACGAGUCAGCAAUCGUCAGCUGUCUGUGAAUGGUUUGUCUUCAUCAUUUCAUUUUGCUCUCACAUGUGAAAAAUAAAUGAUGGACUAUAAUCCUAACCUCCAA